GAUGAACGCUAGCUACAGGCUUAACACAUGCAAGUCGAGGGGUAGCAGGGUAGCAAUACCGCUGACGACCGGCGCACGGGUGAGUAACACGUAUCCAACCUUCCCAUAACUCGGGGAUAGCCUUUCGAAAGAAAGAUUAAUACCCGAUAGUACUUAACAAAGGCAUCUUUGAUAAGUUAAAGAUUUAUUGGUUAUGGAUGGGGAUGCGUUCCAUUAGAUAGUUGGUGAGGUAACGGCUCACCAAGUCUUCGAUGGAUAGGGGUUCUGAGAGGAAGGUCCCCCACAUUGGUACUGAGACACGGACCAAACUCCUACGGGAGGCAGCAGUGAGGAAUAUUGGUCAAUGGGCGAGAGCCUGAACCAGCCAAGUAGCGUGAAGGAUGAAGGUCCUAUGGAUUGUAAACUUCUUUUAUAGUAGAAUAAAGUGAUCCACGUGUGGAUUUUUGUAUGUAUACUAUGAAUAAGGAUCGGCUAACCCCGUGCCAGCCGCCGCUGAA
rnacentral:rRNA from 1 species